GACGUAGGGGGCAAGCGUUAUUCGGAAUCAUUGGGCGUAAAGCGCGCGUAGGUGGUCAUGUAAGUCCGCUGUGAAAGUCAAAGGCUCAACCUUUGAAAGCCGGUGGAUACUGCAUGACUAGAGUACGGAAGAGGCGAGUGGAAUUCCUGGUGUAGCGGUGGAAUGCGCAGAUAUCAGGAGGAACACCAAUAGCGAAGGCAGCUCGCUGGGACGUUACUGACACUGAGGCGCGAAAGCGUGGGGGAGCGAACAGG
rnacentral:rRNA from 1 species